AAACCAACAGGGAUUGCCUCAGUAACGGCGAGUGAAGCGGCAAGAGCUCAAAUUUGAAAUCUGGUACUUUUGCGGUGCCCGAGUUGUAAUUUGAAGAUGGUGACUUUGGACGCGGCCUUUAUCUAUGUUCCUUGGAACAGGACGUCACAGAGGGUGAGAAUCCCGUCUGAUGAGGAGACCCGAGUCUAUGUAAAGUGCUAUCGACGAGUCGAGUUGUUUGGGAAUGCAGCUCUAAGUGGGUGGUAAAUUCCAUCUAAAGCUAAAUAUUGGCGAGAGACCGAUAGCGAACAAGUACAGUGAUGGAAAGAUGAAAAGAACUUUGAAAAGAGAGUGAAAAAGUACGUGAAAUUGUUGAAAGGGAAGGGUAUUAGAUCAGACUUGGUUUUUGGAGAUUAGCGCGGACUUGUUUUGCGUGUACUUUUUCGAAUACCGGGCCAGCAUCGAUUGGGAGAUUGGGAGGAUAAUAGCGACGGAAUGUGGCACUUGUCUCUGGCAAGUGUGUUUAUAGCCGUUGUUGAUACUGCCGGACUCGAUCGAGGACUGCGUCUACGGACUAGGAUGCUGGCGUAAUGAUCUAAUAUCGC
rnacentral:rRNA from 1 species